rnacentral:rRNA from 1 species
UACGUAGGGGGCAAGCGUUGUCCGGAAUCAUUGGGCGUAAAGAGCUCGUAGGCGGCUCGUUGCGUCAGCUGUGAAAACCCGCAGCUCAACUGUGGGCUUGCAGCUGAUACGGGCGGGCUAGAAUUCGGUAGGGGAGACUGGAAUUCCUGGUGUAGCGGUGAAAUGCGCAGAUAUCAGGAGGAACACCGGUGGCGAAGGCGGGUCUCUGGGCCAUAUUGACGCUGGAGGGAGCGAAAAGCGUGGGGGAGCGAACAGG